CCUGACACAGAAAGCAGCUCCAUAUAAGAGCACAGGCUCUACAUGGUCCAUGGAAAACAGUCCCACUUGCUGACAGGAGAGUGAGAGUAACCUAGAUGCUGCAUUGACUUAUCGGUGAAAAGGCUGCACAUCAUUGGUGAGGGAUGAAAGACAAACUGGACUGUUGGAAUCCUGAAUGGAACCUUGGACUCUUGGAACCAUGCAUUAUUGGAUAUCAAAAGUGCAAUGCUGGAGCCUUGAUCUACAGGAACAGAAACAAGACUUGCCUGGCACUGAGACAUUAAUUCUCAAAAAAAAAAAUCGUUCUAAACUGAUCAACACCCUGGAAUUCACCAGGAGCUGCUAUCUACUAAGACAAUUUUCCACUGCUUCUUCUCUCCUCCCCGAGCCACCUCUUCCCAUCUGCUGCCUGCUGUCAUUUUUUCCAGUUCCACCCAGGCCUUGCCUCACUCCCUAGCCUGUCCCAGAAUUGGAACAAUGGCUUUUUGAUCUACAAUCAAAACCUAUCAUUUGAUCAACGAUCUGCAGGCAAACAGCUCUCUGGAGAGAGGUCUACAUGGUGGUUGCCUGAACUCACAUCUGUGCAGAUUCUAACCCCUUGGCAUGCUUGGGCUGCUCACAUUAAGGAAAAGGUGUGAGAAGGCCACCUCAGAGUGCUGGCCAGCUUCAGAUGCAGUUGUAACUGCAACCAAUUUGGAAGCAGCUGGAUUUCUUUGGCCACAUCUGCCUGUGUUGGACACCGUUAAAUCCUAGUGGCAGUCCUGGAUCUGGGGCUCUGUAGAAAACUUCUGGCUUUUGCUGAUUACUGCGCUGACUCCUGAGUAUUUUGGGGAGGCAGAAUCAUCGUGGUGCUGACAUUUUCCCCUGAGAAGAAAGAGAAUACAUUUGUUCCUCUAGGGCUACAACAGCAAGCACUGCCUGUAAGGAGGAUCUGAGAUAUUGUAUGGUAUUGGACUUGAGUGACUCAGAAGGAUGAUGCUUACUGGGCUGAAGGUGACAAAGAAUAAUCCCAUUUCUCCUGCAUUUUGCUAGUCAGCAAAGUGUCAAAAGUAUUACUAGUUGGAUGGGACUGAGACCAGAUCAGUAUUUAACAUAAACCCCCAGAAGGCUGUGGAGAAGAUCUUUGAGACAGGGAUGGAUGGUUGUAAGUGUGAGCUUAUAUGUGAGGACGACUGAAACCAGUGAGGAGGAUGCCAGAUGCUAAUUGAAGGAGAAUAAGUGUUCUGCCAUCUAUAAUGUUUUACUGAGGUUCUCCUUUCCAUCACCUUAGGAGAAUGUUUUGUGUUUUAAAGGCCAGCAGGGGUAUCCAAUCUAAGACAUUGUUGGAAGUCCAUGACCUAAUCCAAGUAUUCCAGAGCAGGUGACUAGACAAAGAUGUCUUCAAGAAGCACUCAGCUUCUUGAAGUGUGGGAGGCAUCCUUAAGCAGCCAUCAUUUAAAACAUGGGGAAACAUAUUUCCAUGAGUGAUAUCUCAAUUCCACAACUGUGGGAAUAAAUAAAUACUCAUUGCCCUGGCUGCUGUGGUGUGCAGCCAAGUCUUGGCAGGAGCUGUGUGGUUCAGUCUCCUCUGAAUUGCCAGCUCUCUAAGCAAACUCUGUGUUAUUGAAACAGAAGAAUCUGUUUUCCACUGGGAUUUAAAACAAUUUGUGAUGAAUGCUGGGAGUUUUUGAGCUACCAGAUUUUGAAAAUAUCCUUGUUAAAACAGGAAGGAAGGGGAUUCUAGGGCAUAGAGAUUUUGAGUCAGUGGUCUGGAUUUGCUCAUCAUGUGAGUAGAGGGGAGAUCUGCAAGUGGUUUCAAUAACCAGGCAGCAAUGUUUGUCAAGACAGGGACAGGGAUGCCUGGCAGACUCCCCUGUAGCCCUCACCAUGUAAGCAAAGAGCACUUGUGUUGUUGCAUGUUCCCCUCAUCACUCUGAUGCCUGAUUCCAGCCUGGAGUAUCAAAAAUCUCUAGCAACAGGUUUCUGGCCUUAGGGGGAGAAGGGCAAGGAGGUGGGCUUUCAAGAGGCUUAUAAGGUUAUGUUAUACUAGACAACUAAUAUUUGCCUUUGUUUCCCGAACAGUGUAUACCAGCUUAGGGUAGGUUCUCUAGAAGUGACCCUAGGACACAUGUGGGAAGCCAGGCUAUUUUGAAGCUGGAGAAAUGCUUUAUGGCCAGCAAACUUAGAAAAAGAUUAAAUUUUUGUUAAAAGAGGGCAGCUUGGAAAUUGUGUCUGGUUCCGAACCAGAGCUUAAUCCCUGUAAAGGGCAGAUGUGGG